UCCGGGUUGCGGACAGUGUCUGGUGGGUAGUUUGACUGGGGCGGUCUCCUCCUAAAGAGUAACGGAGGAGCACGAAGGUUGGCUAAUCCUGGUCGGACAUCAGGAGGUUAGUGCAAUGGCAUAAGCCAGCUUGACUGCGAGCGUGACGGCGCGAGCAGGUGCGAAAGCAGGUCAUAGUGAUCCGGUGGUUCUGAAUGGAAGGGCCAUCGCUCAACGGAUAAAAGGUACUCCGGGGAUAACAGGCUGAUACCGCCCAAGAGUUCAUAUCGACGGCGGUGUUUGGCACCUCGAUGUCGGCUCAUCACAUCCUGGGGCUGAAGUAGGUCCCAAGGGUAUGGCUGUUCGCCAUUUAAAGUGGUACGCGAGCUGGGUUUAGAACGUCGUGAGACAGUUCGGUCCCUAUCUGCCGUGGGCGCUGGAGAACUGAGGGGGGCUGCUCCUAGUACGAGAGGACCGGAGUGGACGCAUCACUGGUGUUCGGGUUGUCAUGCCAAUGGCACUGCCCGGUAGCUAAAUGCGGAAGAGA
rnacentral:rRNA from 1 species